rnacentral:rRNA from 1 species
UAGGGAAUCUUCCGCAAUGGGCGAAAGCCUGACGGAGCAACGCCGCGUGAGUGAUGAAGGUCUUCGGAUCGUAAAACUCUGUUAUUAGGGAAGAACAAAUGUGUAAGUAACUAUGCACGUCUUGACGGUACCUAAUCAGAAAGCCACGGCUAACUACGUGCCAGCAGCCGCGGUAAUACGUAGGUGGCAAGCGUUAUCCGGAAUUAUUGGGCGUAAAGCGCGCGUAGGCGGUUUUUUAAGUCUGAUGUGAAAGCCCACGGCUCAACCGUGGAGGGUCAUUGGAAACUGGAAAACUUGAGUACAGAAGAGGAAAGUGGAAUUCCAUGUGUAGCGGUGAAAUGCGCAGAGAUAUGGAGGAACACCAGUGGCGAAGGCGACUGUCUGGUCUGUAACUGACGCUGAUGUGCGAAAGCGUGGGGAUCAAACAGG